UGUACCUACGGGGGGCAGCAGUGAGGAAUAUUGGUCAAUGGACGGAAGUCUGAACCAGCCAUGCCGCGUGCAGGAAGACGGCUCUAUGAGUUGUAAACUGCUUUUGUACAAGGGUAAACCUGAAUACGUGUAUUCAGCUGAAAGUACUGUACGAAUAAGGAUCGGCUAACUCCGUGCCAGCAGCCGCGGUAAUACGGAGGAUCCAAGCGUUAUCCGGAUUUAUUGGGUUUAAAGGGUGCGUAGGCGGAUUUUUAAGUCAGCGGUCAAAUCGUGGGGCUCAACCCCAUCCAGCCGUUGAAACUGGG
rnacentral:rRNA from 1 species